AUGUGCAUUUUGAAGCAUCCCCCUGGCCGCGGUGCGAGGCCCCCGGCAGCCAGCCCCAGCGCGUGCGGGCACAUCCGGGAGGACAAUGCAGCCGUCCAGGUGGGAGGCGACAGACGCCCGAACGGAAGGGGAGCGGCGGAGGUGAGAACUACACGGGCUGGGGGCCACGGAGCCGGCCUGCUCGACGGGCAGGGUGUGCCUCGGGGCGGCGAGGUCAAGAGAGACUCCCGGGCCGCGGCCGGGGCCACCAGCCGCAGACACCCCCGGCUCCCACUGCGCGCUGCCCAGCCCGUCCCUCCCCCAUCUGCUGUCGCGCCCGCAGGCUCCAUCCUCCCACCCCCUCCUCCCUCCGCUCCUCCAGGCCCUGCCCGCCCUCUUCCCCGCCCGAGGCCCCUCCCGGCCGGGGACCCGCACCCCUCCGGCCCGGCGGACCCAGCAGGGCCGCGACCCCCCUGCAGAACCGGCGCCGAGCAGCCCGGGCCCGCCCUCCAGCCACUUUGGCCAAUGCAGGCCGCAGCCUCCGGCCCCCUUCCCCGCCCGGCCUCUCCUCUCCGCGUCCCCCGGGCCAGGCCCCUCCCGGCGGCCCGCCACACCGCGGCGCCCGGCGCGCCCCCCACUCACCAGGGCGCCGACCUAGGCCCAGCUCCCGCGCCCGGGUCUCGCCUCCGCGGCCGCUCCAGCCUCCGCCCGCCCCGCCUCCCCGGGCCCCGCCCCCGCAGGCCGACCCGCGCUCCUAUUGCUCCGCUUCGCCGUCUCGCUGAAUUCUCUUUCUCCCAUUGGGUUGCUUACGUGUCACUCAAGGGAGGGCGGGCCCAAGGCCCGGGGAAGCGCCGGCCGUCUCCGCCCCACUGGCGGAGGCCUCUUAAAGACACAGGCUUCCUGCGCUCCCGCCCUCACCACCCACCCCGCGGGCUGUGGGGUCAGAAGGCGCGGGCUUUCGCCGCAGAUGCGGGAGGCAGCCUUUUCUCCCUCGAACUUUUCUUUGGCACGGCCCGGGAGUGA
rnacentral:lncRNA from 12 species